GUGUAAGAUACUGAAUAUAUACUGCAAAAAGCAAAAUUUAAUUAGGAAUUAGGGAUAAAUGGAGUGUCUGAGUGGAAAAUUUCAAGAAUAUGGAAAUUGUUCAUGAACAAUUGGGAGUUACGUUAUCAUUUGCUGAUGAAAAUGCAAAUCAAUAGAUAUCUAUCGAUAUGAGUGAGAUACAAUUUUGGAAUAAUUCUUCAGGACCAGAUCUCAAAUGAUAUUGGACAAAUCAUUCAAGAACAGAAAAAUAGAUCAACACAGAGGAAUCAAACCGCCAAGCCCAACUUGUUUUUGGUAUCAGGGGAAAAUCUAUUAUAGCCGAAAAGUUUCCAAAUUGUUGUAUAUAGAUGUAGAUGAACUUUUAAGUAUGUAUCUCGAAUUCUCUCCACCUAAAUAAUUUAUUCUUUAGGAGAUAACUAUGUUCCUUUAAUCAUUUGUAUAGUACAAUGUUUUAUCCUGUAUUUGUAUAAAUGUAAUACAAUUUUUUUCCAAUGUA